rnacentral:rRNA from 1 species
ACGGGGCGCAGCAGGGGCGAAAACUUUACAAUGCGGGAAACCGCGAUAAGGGGACACUGAGUGCCAGCAUAUUAUGUUGGCUGUCCACAUGUAUAAAAACCAUGUGUUAGCAAGGGCCGGGCAAGACCGGUGCCAGCCGCCGCGGUAACACCGGCGGCCCGAGUGGUGAUCACUUUUAUUGGGUCUAAAGGGUCCGUAGCCGGUUUGAUCAGUCUUCUGGGAAAUCUGACAGCUCAACUGUUAGGCUUUCAGGGGAUACUGUCAAACUUGGGACCGGGAGAGGUAAGAGGUACUACAGGGGUAGGAGUGAAAUCUUGUAAUCCCUGUGGGACCACCAGUGGCGAAGGCGUCUUACCAGAACGGGUCCGACGGUGAGGGACGAAAGCUGGGGGCACGAACCGGAUUAGAUACCCGGGUAGUCCCAGCCGUAAACGAUGCUCGCUAGGUGUCAGGGACGGUGCGACCGUUUCUGGUGCCGCAGGGAAGCCGUGAAGCGAGCCACCUGGGAAGUACGGCCGCAAGGCUGAAACUUAAAGGAAUUGGCGGGGGAGCACUACAACGGGUGGAGCCUGCGGUUUAAUUGGACUCAACGCCGGAAAACUCACCGGGGGCGACAGCAAUAUGUAGGUCAGGCUAAAGACCUUACCCGAAUCGCUGAGAGGAGGUGCAUGGCCGUCGUCAGUUCGUACUGUGAAGCAUCCUGUUAAGUCAGGCAACGAGCGAGACCCGUGCCCACUGUUGCCAGCAUGUCCUUCGGGAUGAUGGGUACUCUGUGGGGACCGCCGCUGCUAAAGCGGAGGAAGGUGCGGGCUACGGUAGGUCAGUAUGCCCCGAAUCUCCCGGGCUACACGCGGGCUACAAUGAUUGGGACAAUGGGUCCCUACUCCGAAAGGAGAUGGUAAUCUCAUAAACCCAACCUUAGUUUCGAAUUUGAGGGCUGUAACUCGCCCUCAUGAAGCUGGAAUCCGUAGUAAUCGCGUUUCACAUAGCGCCGAUGAUACGUUCCCUGCUCCUUGCACCACACCCGACUGUCGACUACUGAAGUGAAGGUAUGGGAAUGAGGCACCGGAAACCUUUCCAGU